rnacentral:rRNA from 1 species
UACGAGGCGAGCAAGCGUUGUUCGGAUUUACUGGGCGUAAAGGGCGCGUAGGCGGCGUGACAAGUCACUUGUGAAAUCUCCGGGCUUAACUCGGAACGGUCAAGUGAUACUGUCGUGCUAGAGUACAGAAGGGGCAACUGGAAUUCUCGGUGUAGCGGUGAAAUGCGUAGAUAUCGAGAGGAACACCUGCGGCGAAGGCGGGUUGCUGGGCUGAUACUGACGCUGAGGCGCGAAAGCCAGGGGAGCGAACGGG